AUUAUACUCCCUCCGUCCGAAAGUACUUGUCAUCAAAAUGGACAAAAAGGGAUGUAUCUAAAACUAAAAUACAUCUAGAUACAUCCCUUUUAUCCAUUUUGAUGACAAGUAUUUCCGGACAGAGGGAGUAUAUA
rnacentral:pre_miRNA from 1 species